UACGAGAGGUCCCAAGCGUUGUUCGGAUUCAUUGGGCGUAAAGGGUGCGUAGGCGGCGCGGGAAGUCGGGUGUGAAAUCUCGGAGCUUAACUCCGAAACUGCAUUCGAUACUGCCGUGCUUGGAGGACUGGAGAGGAGACUGGAAUUUACGGUGUAAGCGGUGAAAUGCGUAGAUAUCGUGGAGGAACACCGGUGGCGAAGGCGGCAUCCUGGACCGGUAUUGACACUGAGGCGCGAAAGCCAGGGAGGCAAAACGGG
rnacentral:rRNA from 1 species